UAUUAGUGGGGGAAAAGUAUGUGAUUUGGGUAAGUUUUCACUAACUAACAUUUCUUUCUUCAUAUUUUCUAUAGCCUUCUUUGAUCUGAGAUCAACAUUGAUUUACAGUUUAUAGGGUUGUUGUUUUAGAGUUUAUCUUCUUCAUGACUUUACGUUUUUGUUUACUUUGAAAUAAUCAUAGAGUCAAAAGGGAGGUCUGGUGUACCUUUCACCCAGCUUUCCCCGAUGGCCACGGCCACGUGUAGCACAAUGUCAAAACCAGGAAUUUGGCGUCGAUACAUAGUCUUCUGGGGGAUCAGCAUGAACUGCAACAUACUUUAGGAAACACUGUCUUGCACUCUGCUCUUGGGUACCACAAAUAGGAGAAUAGACAUGCCUAAAAUUCAAAUUUCAAGAUCUUUAUCACAGUUUCCCUCUACAUGUUCGGGUGUGCACUGGAGGUGUGCCCUUUAAAACACAGAGCAGGUAAGCACUUUUAUUUCCCAGAGACAGACUCUGGGCUCCUCUAAACAGAAUGAAGCCCCUCCCAUGCUCGCAGGAGUGGGCAUCAGUAUCCCCCCUUUUUUAGCCCCCAUGCCUGGAAAUUCUUAUUCAGUAGGUCUGGGGCGGGGACUGGACAUAUGUAUUUUAUAAAACACCUAUACAUGUUUUUUAUGUGAGCUCCCAUCUGUCAGACGUUUGACAAAUUCUUUUUUUUAAUUUUUAGAUACUGCCUGAAACAGUAUUGAGAGUGGCUUCCAGACAUAUGCUUGUUGUCCGAGUGUUUCACCUGCAUCACUUUGCAGUCCUGAGGAAUCAUUUUGAGACUAAAAUUUCCAACUAAUUUCCAAUGCAUAAACUUCUAGAAAGAACUUUUUAUGCCAAAUGUUUUGAAAGCUUUUUAAAGUUAAAUUAAUUGGGUAUUCAACCCUAGGAAAGGUGUUGUUUACUCUUUUUUUGAUGUAGCAAAUAAAUUUCUACCAAAAUGGAAUACAAGGACAUUUAAAAAUAGUCAUAUUCCUUUAGACACCGUUUUGAGGGGUAAUUUUCUGUCUUCAAAAUGCUUUUUCCCUCUCAAUGUUUCUCUGCCCCUUUCCAGACCAGUCAGUCUGUCUCUGUUCGUUUUCUUGACUGACG